UUAGCAUCCUAUAGCUUUGUCUACCUUUCUGAUAGCAGACACUACAGACGACAUGGCCGCAGGUUGUGACAGCCAGUUUUCUGUCAGCACUGGGGGAGAGGAAGCAGGAGUUGCAGCAGAUCCAGUCUCACCAGUCUCUCUCCAGCAAAGACGGCAAACCUUGUGGAGUUGGUUUGGAAGCAAAGGUAGUGCUGACCAGACGCGUGAGCUGUGAAGUGACGCCGAGGUGAGGCGAGUGGGAGAGCGCCUUCAGAUCCCAAGGCUCCAACAAGAAAAAACCUGAAGGACUCACCGGUGACCAGCAUGUCUUCAGGAACCUCCUCGAUGAUGCACUUUUCCUGCUGCUCUCCUAGAUCAAAAUACAUGGCUGCUGCCAACAUCAGUCACUGCAGCGUGUCUAAUGGUUCGGCUCCCUCUCAGCAGAUCCACCAAGUGGAGGCCCGGCGAGCGGCAGCCCCGACUAACGCCUCCCAAACCGCUGGCCUUAUCAAGACUGACAGCCAGCUAGACCCAGAGCUAUCGCCAACACACACAUAAUUACAAAGAUACACGCCUGCACAUGUACAAAGAUACAAGACAGAGAAAUAAAUGCACGCUCACAUAAGCCGUUACGUGCAAAACAAAUGCAUACUGUGGUACAUGCAGUUGCAAACAUGCGUGUACACACAAAUGCGUGACGAAGCAUGGAUGUUAUCGAUGCACACUAUAGCUCUAAAUGUAGCUCCAAACAAACACAAAGUGGCCAUCGUAUUAGCUGUAAACGUGCAGAUGCAGUCACACAUAAACACACACACACAGCAAAUUGGAUUUAUGGAUACUGACAGUGAGCUGCAGAACAAUGUGGAUGCCACUACAGAGGAGAGCGAGAAACUAGCAAUCUAAUCUACUAUAGGAGGAGACGGGUAGAGCAGGCAUGAAGAAUCUAAUCCAUGUGUAGAUGAGGAGAGUGAAAGGAGCUGGAAUAGGUAGGAGCAGCAGGACAGAAACAAAAGAGAUGAAUGGAGGAACAGGUUGGCAGUAAAGAAGAAUGAGGGUGAGGAGGAAGAAGAGAGGUGAGAGGCGGAAAGGAAUGGGAUGGCAGUAACGAAGAUGGCAAGGGAGAGGAGGAUGAGGAGGAGGAAAAUAAAAAUAAAGAGGAUUUAUUAAUCUUA